rnacentral:rRNA from 1 species
UACGUAGGCGGCCCAUUAAGUCAGAUGUGAAAGCCCGGAGCUCAACUCCGGGAUUGCAUUUGAAACUGGUGGGCUAGAGUACAGGAGAGGAAAGUGGAAUUCCUAGUGUAGCGGUGAAAUGCGUAGAUAUUAGGAAGAACACCAGUGGCGAAGGCGGCUUUCUGGACUGUAACUGACGCUGAGGUAACGAAAGCGUGGGGAGCGAACA